GCAUCUGUUCCUCAUUCCUGCAUCCAAACAUUUUCUCCAGGUUGGCUGUCAGUCCGGCAUUGUGCUGCAGGGGUCUCAGCUGGAGCAGAAUUGCCCUCACAUGAGCAUGAGCAUUCGGACAGGUCUGGACUUGUCCCUCUGACAAGGAGGAAGCGGUGGCAGGAAGCCUGUGGGCCCACCUGGGAGAGAGGGUGGCAGGGUCGAGAGUCGAUUGGCACAGGGCAGCCAGCGUGUGACUGUGGGCACCAGCAGGAGACAGCGCCAGCUGUGGCAUCUGCAGUAGCCGCCACCUCGACUGCCAGCCCUGCCGCUUCAGCAGCAGGCACCUCCGUGUCCUUGGAAGGGAUAACCAGCCUCUCCACCUGGACAGUGGGCCUUAAGCGAGCCUUCCCUUCUUGCAGCCAACUGAGGCAGCCGGCACCCUUGCUUGCCAGAUACCCUGAAGCGUUCUGGAAAAAGUCAGGGAAGACCCACAAGCAUGGGUCACUGUCAAGCCAGAGAAAUUCCUCUGACUUUAGUUUUUCUUUUUUGCCCAGGUUGAUGUGGCUUAGGGCACAUGGCUUAUCCACAGUAUAAUCAUGAGAACCAAUAUUUACUAAGUCCUCACUCUGGGCCAGGAAUUCUUCUAAGCAUUUACCAACUCACUUAGACUUGCAAGAGCCUGUGAAACAGAUGUCAUUCUUAUCUCCAUUUGACACAGGAGGUAAGAAUAUUCUCAAGGUUGUAUAGCUAGAAAGUGGCAGUGGCCAGGGUGCGGUGGCUGACGCCUGUAAUCUCAGCACUUUGGGAGGCCAAGGCAAGUGGAUUUCUUGAGCCCGGGAGUUUGGGACCAGCCUGGGCAACGUAGUAAGACCUCAUCUCUACAAAAAUUUAAAAAUAAAUAAAUAAAAAGUAAAAAUACAGCUAGAAAGUGGCAAAGCUAUGGUCUCAAAUCAGACAGUUUGAACCCAGAGCCCAUGUGCUGGCCUCUCAGACUGGGAUCUACUCAGUCACUGGACAACAACAAAUCUCCAGUCUUCAUCAGAUUAUCUGAUUUUUUCCAAAUUGCUUAGGAAUUCUUUAAACAUCAAAAAUUCAUUAUAUAACCAUUAUGUAAAUAACAUCAUUAAAAGCAUGUUCAAAUGAGAAAAAGAAGUCACUACUAAACUUACCACCCCAAAGCAACUGAUUUUAUAUAUGCAUGCUUUUUUGAUCCUUGCACUCACAUGUUCUAUAUAGUGAAAUAUAAUUCUGUAUUAUGAUUAUUUCCUGAUGUUAUAACAUUGUAUUAUAAGUGUAUUUUCAUAAGGUUAUUUUCUGACAUUUUAAUUGCUGGGUAGCAUUCCUUCAAGUUGAUGUACCAUAAUUGACUUAGCUACUUCCCUAUGUUGAGCAUUUAGAUUGUUU
ensembl:lincRNA